rnacentral:pre_miRNA from 1 species
CAUAUACUUCCUCCGUCCCAAAUUUUUUGUCUUCGAUUUAUCUAGAUACGGAUGUAUCUAAUACUAAAAUGUGAAUAGAUACAUCCGUAUGUAGACAAAUCUAAGACAAGAAUUUUGGGACGGAGGGAGUAGUAC